UUAGACUACAAUCUCUUAAAGUUAAGUGACCCGAAGCGAAAAGAGCUAACUACACAAAAUUAUAGAACUUUUAGGUGACCAAAGGUAAUGUGGCAAAAUUACUUAAUAGAUGUGAUAGUUAGGGGUGAAAGGCUAUUCAAAUUUCGUUGAUAACUGGAUUAAGCUAAAAAAUAUUAAGUAUUUCCGACACAAGCUCAAAAAUCUAAGCUUUUGAGUUUAUUAAGAUAUAUGUUAGAGAAAUUAAAAUCAACUUUAUUAAUAUAAUAAUGUCUAAACUAAAUUAAUAAUUAAUUUACUUUUAUUUUUAAAUCUUUAAGUUUAUUUAUUUAAGUUAACUUUUAACUCAUAUUAAUAAUGUUUAAAUGAGUAUAGAACACAUAAAAAAAAAUAGGAACUCGGCAAAAAUUUUCUUCAACUGUUUAUCAAAAACAUAGCUAGUAGGUUAUACUUCAUUAUUAGUUAGCUCUGCCCGGUGAUGUAAAAUUUAACGGCCGCAGUACACUGACUGUGCAAAGGUAGCAUAAUCAAUUGGCUAUUAAUUGUAGUCGAGUAUGAAGGAGUCCAUGGGGAAAAGCUGUCUUUUUUUUUAUUUCUAGAACUUGCUAAGCAAGUGCAAAAACUUGCGUUUCGUUAUAAUAGACGAGAAGACCCUAUAAAUUUUUACUAAUAUUAGAAGAUAUCUUGAUCGUUUUUGUUGGGGCAACAAUGUAACACAAUAAAGAAAUUUACAAUGAAAAUAUGAUUUAAUAAAACGAGUUUUACUAAGAACAACUAAAUUACUAUAGGGAUAACAGCAUAAUUUUAACAUUAAGAUUGUGACCUCGAUGUUGGAUUAGGAUUUUAACAAAUUAACAGUUUGCUUAAGGGGUUCUGUUCGAACUUUAACACCUACAUGAUCUGAGUUCAGACCGG
rnacentral:rRNA from 1 species